UAUGGCCAUAUCACGUUGAAACAACGGUUCUCGUACGAACAUCGAAGUUAAGCAACGUCGAGUGUGGUCAGUACUUAGGUGAGUGAUCGCUAGAAAUUGUCAGGUGCUGUAA